rnacentral:tRNA from 5 species
CGGGGCGUAGCGCAGUUGGCUAGCGCGCGUCGUUCGGGACGACGAGGUCGGCGGUUCAAGUCCGCCCGCCCCGA